UGAGCACGUGAGCUUGAGCGCAGAACGCAAGAGACUGGGAAGUAAACAGAGCUCCAUGCGAUUGGUCAGUGGAUGGCUUCGUGUUGUUGGUUUGUGCUGUGUUUUGAUCUUCUCGAGCGAGCGGUUUUCGUCACGUUGUUUGUGCUGGUUGGAGAUUUCUCAUAUUGAGCAGGGGAGAGGUUAAAUGUGAGUUCACACGCAAAGCUGUAUGUCACGUGAGCUAAAGGAGACUGUUGCAAAGUAAGUUUUGUUUAUUAAUUUCUUUACUGAUGUGUCUUUGAUUUCAUAAAAUGUAAUGGAUGCGUGUUGAAUGUGUUUAUAAUUGCUAUUGAUGUGAUAAUUGUGUUUUUGUUAUGAUUGGGGUUAAAAUACUAAAUGUUGCUUAUGUUAUUAUGUAAUGUAAGUGAUGAGUGAAUUCUAAUUGGCCCUAUUUGUAUCUUUUUGUAUUUUUAUUAUCUUUCAGAGCACAGUUGGGCCACUACCGUUGUUUGCUUAGGUGAAAAAUAGUGUUUUCUUGUGUAACUAAGGGGCUUGUGUGCAUUACAGAGUAUUACAGCCAAAGAAACAAUUUCAUUUUUUUAUUUUCUUUUAUUUCUAUGUUAUGCCAAUUGAAGUAACUUGUGUUAUUUCAGUGUUAUAUGUUUUUUUGUCCACUUUAAAAAUUGUCAAAACCAACAUUAAAAGAAAGCAAGAAAAUACUUAAUGCUGCACUCCUUUUGAGUGUGGUCAGGAAUAAAAGAACCCCAGUUUAAUGUUAAGCCACUGUUUUGGUUUCCUUUAUUUUAAAC